rnacentral:lncRNA from 10 species
UUUAUAUACAUUUUUAGGAAAUGUCCAACCACCAUCAUUCUUUGAAAUAGUUUUAAUAACUGCAUAGAUUUUUUUUGUCAAAUAGACAUAUUGUAAGAUAUUUAGCCGCCUUAUUAACAGACAUUUAUGUUCUAUUUUGGGGGUAUGAAAACAAUGUUACUAGACAUUUUUGUGUUAAAGUCUGCCAGAUCUCCAACUAUUUCUUUGGGAUUGAUUCCUACAU